UCCGAACGACGAUCCGAAGACUUCGGGCAUAUGAGUUCGGAAAACAAAUGGCGGACUAGGGUGUACAUGUUGAAGGAUUGCUUCAACUUUCUACCGUUUAAGUUCUUUGGGAUCUUUUGUAUUUGUACAACAAGACGUGCCAAACGUUGCAAGACUGAGCUAAAUCGGGCAUUGGUGGCGGCGGCUAGCGCCUAUCAUGGCAUCGGAAACGUAACGGGGUCAAAGAACAGUGAAUAAGAUUUCCUGUACAAAAACAGAAGUAGUCCACUAACCUGUACCACAAGGGCUUUCAAGCGUUUUGCUUUUCGGUAGAGUUUCCUUGUCUCCUUUAUUGUUCGACGUGUUGUUUACACAAUUGGGAAAUGCGCACAUCACUAUGGGAACAAAAUGCCUGGCAAAUUCACAUCCAGUAACUGAACUUGGUGGAGGAAAGGUGUCACACUUCCAUCUCCUGUUGCUAUUGAUCACCCAGUCAGGAAUGCUCACACAAGUUGGAUGAUACCAACCAUUGCACUAAAAACACUGCGCAUACUCCUUCUUGUCAUGUCAUGUUUUUUGUGACAUGGUAAGGUAUCCGCCGUGACGUUUUUUGGAAAGGGACCAUCUCUUCUAAAUCCAGGCAUCUGACAUAAUGUGGGUGCAUGUUUUGCUGGUCAUAUGCUUCUGUCACAGGAUUUCAUUUCCAUGUCUGCUGAUCAAGUCCCUCUGCCAAGCUGUUUGAUGUGCAAAUAAUAGGUUUUGAAUGAUCUGUGCUUCAACAUUUCCAUCUGGGUUAGUCCAAUUUUCAGAAACACCCUCUGUAGGGAUAGGGAACAAGGUCUAAGGAAAAGGUGAUUUUCAGGAUCCUCUUGCUUCCAUGUCUUAAUUUUGUCCUCCAAAUUUAUCUGGUCAACCUUACAUAGCAUCUCUUUAACAGUUGCGUUAUGCAUAUGAUUUCUGGUAUCUACAUCCUUUGGGUGAUAGCGCCUGUUUGUGUUUGGCGGUGGAUUCUGACCAGCAAAAAGAUCAUUCUUCACAUAGUAACACAGGUGUUGUUUCAUUUCAUCAACUGUUUUGACACCCUCACCAUCAAGUGUGUAGAUUUUUUCGACCAGGCUUCUUUCAAUGGGUUGUAACAUGCCACCAAACUAUAAGAAUAAAACUUUUUUGGACCACUACCUCAAAUUA